rnacentral:rRNA from 1 species
CCUACGGGGGGCUGCAGUGGGGAAUAUUGCACAAUGGGCGCAAGCCUGAUGCAGCCAUGCCGCGUGUGUGAAGAAGGCCUUCGGGUUGUAAAGCACUUUCAGCGGGGAGGAAGGCGUUAAGGUUAAUAACCUUGGCGAUUGACGUUACCCGCAGAAGAAGCACCGGCUAACUCCGUGCCAGCAGCCGCGGUAAUACGGAGGGUGCAAGCGUUAAUCGGAAUUACUGGGCGUAAAGCGCACGCAGGCGGGCUGUCAAGUCGGAUGUGAAAUCCCCGGGCUCAACCUGGGAACUGCAUUCGAAACUGGCAGGCUAGAGUCUUGUAGAGGGGGGUAGAAUUCCAGGUGUAGCGGUGAAAUGCGUAGAGAUCUGGAGGAAUACCGGUGGCGAAGGCGGCCCCCUGGACAAAGACUGACGCUCAGGUGCGAAAGCGUGGGGAGCAAACAGGAUUAGAUACCCGGGUAGUC